GGGGCUGAUCGGUUUCGACUACGUGCGUCGAGGUGGGGGAAGCGUGUCGGUGCAGGCCAGAGACCACCGUUAAGCGUCGCGGCAACCAAUUAAGCGCCGAUAAGAAUCAGCGCGACUACGCACUCGCUGCCUGACAGCGACUGCGUGUCUGUUGGCCCGGGUUUUGCUCCCUUGCCCGGUGCCGGCAUCAUCUCAGGGAGCUCACUGUCCACUCCGGUCGCGGGAGUGAACGGGACAUCUCACAGCGACUGGGAUCGUCCUCUCGGCUUGUUCGCGUGACCGAGAGAUCCGAGUAGAGAUAUAGCGGACUGCACACGGAGAAGCCCUACCGAAGCGACGGAGGACCCGGGUUCAAUUCCCGGCAGCUCCACGA
rfam:Gordonia sputi NBRC 100414 DNA, contig: GOSPT034.